CGUCACCGCCCAUUCGGGCGUUUCCUCCCUAGACUUGGGCCGCGCCAGUCGCGGCCCUUUUUUCGUCGGGA
rnacentral:sRNA from 1 species